rnacentral:tRNA from 1 species
GGUGCUGUGGCUCAAGUGGUAGAGCGCUUCCCUUCAGCUGAAGAGCUGAGGGACAGCACCC